CGCUACCGUCGGCGGCUAGAAGUGCUCGGCUGCUGGCACCCGGGAGAGGAAGGUCCAGGGCGGGCCGGAGACGUAGGGGUCCGCGUCCCUGCGCCCAGGCCUGGCAGCUCCCCGCACUGUGGGCGCCCCGCACCCCAAGCCCCUGCCAGGGCCUUCCUUGGGCUCCCGCAUCCGAGGCUCUGAGACCGGAGUACGACGGAGCUCCUGCGCCUUCCGGGGCUGGGGGCCGGGCCCGCCCGUGCCGCUCCUGGCGGGGCCCUCCAUUGGCAGACGGGAUCUUGCUCUGUUGCCCAGGCUGGUUUUGAACUCCUGGGCUCAAGUGAUCCCCCUCCUCAGCCUCUCACACUGCUGGGCUUACAAGUGUAAGCCAUCUCAUCCAGACACGCACACCGCAGAGCGUGGCCAUGGAACAGUAACCGGGCUUGUGAGAGGGCUCUACAGUAUCAACUAGGAGACAAGAUCCACGGAUUCACUGUCAACCAGCAUAGGAACUAAAAAUGACAACACUUCACAUAUUUGGCCAGCUGUUGGCUCUGUGCUAUGGUUGAUGUUACAGCAAAUUUAAAAGACAAAACUUACUGUCUAGAAAGACUGAUGUGGCUGUGACUGGAGGCACAUGGUGGACGCCAUGCGGAGGGCCAAGGACAAGGGUGGGAGCUGCUGCUGCUGCUGGGGGGAGAGGGAAGAGCUCCUGGAGAGGGUGUUGUGAGAAAGCAGCUGCCUCUGGGCAGGGCUCCAGCAAGGGAGCCAGGGCAGUGACUAGGGGGUCCCAGGCAAGGUCCAGGCAUGGGAGUCCUGACAACAGACUCAGAGCAUUUGUGAAAUCCUGCGAAGGCUGGGCAAAGACACCUGGGUUUAUAGUACUGGUUACUAUUACUAAAGGCCUCACCCAGAGUGGUAGAUUCUUCUCCUUUAUUUUUCAAAUUUUAUAGAAAUGUACUUUUUUGAGAUUGGGACUCACCCUGUCGCCCAGACAGGAGUGUAGUGGCAUGACCUUGGCUCACUGCAGCCUCAAACUCCUGGGCUCAA